rnacentral:tRNA from 1 species
AAUAUAUUGGCAGAAUAAAUGCAUUAG